rnacentral:rRNA from 1 species
GAUGAACGCUAGCGGCAGGCUUAAUACAUGCAAGUCGUGGGGCAGCAGGUCCCGUAGCAAUACGGGAUGCCGGCGACCGGCAAACGGGUGCGGAACACGUACGCAACCUACCCAUAACUGGGGGAUAGCCCGGGGAAACCCGGAUUAAUACCCCGUAACAUAUUGAUAAGGCAUCUUAUUAAUAUUAUAGCUCCGGCGGUUAUGGAUGGGCGUGCGCCUGAUUAGGUAGUUGGCGGGGUAACGGCCCACCAAGCCUACGAUCAGUAACUGGUGUGAGAGCACGACCAGUCACACGGGCACUGAGACACGGGCCCGACUCCUACGGGAGGCAGCAGUAAGGAAUAUUGGUCAAUGGACGCAAGUCUGAACCAGCCAUGCCGCGUGGAGGAUGAAGGUCCUCUGGAUUGUAAACCUCUUUUAUCUGGGAAGAAAUCCAUAAAUUCUUUUAUGGUUGACGGUACCAGGUGAAUAAGCACCGGCUAACUCCGUGCCAGCAGCCGCGGUAAUACGGAGGGUGCAAGCGUUAUCCGGAUUCACUGGGUUUAAAGGGUGCGUAGGCGGAUUGGUAAGUCCGUGGUGAAAUCCCCGAGCUUAACUCGGGAACUGCCAUGGAUACUAUCAGUCUUGAAUAUCUUGGAGGUAAGCGGAAUAUGUCAUGUAGCGGUGAAAUGCUUAGAUAUGACAUAGAACGCCAAUUGCGAAGGCAGCUUACUACGCGAUAAUUGACGCUGAGGCACGAAAGCGUGGGGAUCAAA